GAUUAAUGAACGUAUUCGCUAGAAAGCAUUUUGCAGGACGAGCAUGGAAAUAGGGGAUGGUGGUGGAAGUAUCACCAGACAUCCCAGCCCAUGCUCAGGAACUAAGACUGUCACCAGAAAAAGGUGCUUAGCACUCCAGGGAGCCCCCUCUCCCAUCAUGGGUCACCAGGUGAUCUGCUGUGUGGCUCUUUGUCUCCUCGGAGCAGGCACAGCAGAUGGUAGAAUCACUCAGACCCCAAAAUACCUGAUCAGAGAGGAAGGACAAGGCGUGACUCUGGAAUGUGAACAGGACUUUGAUCACGACUCCAUGUACUGGUACCGACAGGACCCAGGGCAAGGGCUGAGACUGCUUUACCGCUCACAAGUAGUAACUGAUGUUCAGAAAGGAGACAUACCUGAAGGCUACAGUGUCUCUCGAGACAAGAAGCCAUUCUUUCCUCUCACUGUGACAUCGACGAAAAAGAACCAGACAGCUCUGUGUCUCUGUGCCAGCAGUAGAGACACAGUGAAGUACAGCCACCUCCUCUCUACGCAGAAGUGCGUCUCAAGCCCUGCUUCCCCACCAGGUGGCAGGGUCUUUCUGUGUUCAGUGCCCUCACCUCCCUGCUUUCUUCCACUUUCACCAGACGCUCAAAGCAGCUGCUGCCAUCAACGUGCUUCACGGAAUGACAAGACACCUCAGUGA